CGAAGGGAGGACACGCAGCCGCGUCGGCACACGCCAGCUGACCCGGGAACAAUAAAGGUGAUGCAGGUCAGCGGUGGUGAGGCAGCAGCUGCUCAGGCGAAGCUCCAGGAUCACGGACGGCUGCAGCGCGUCCAUCAGCAGCGGCAGGCGACCGCCUACCACCUUACACCAGGAAACAUCCAGGCUGCGCAGGGUUUAGAAGCUAACAUUUGGCUAGCGGCGCCGAGCCCUGGCUGACUGCUGGGCUCAUCUGCUCCAGCUGCGGACGCAGUGAGCCUGUCGGUGUUUACCCAGGGCGGUGAAGGACUCCUCCGUCAGCC